CGAGUACUCCCUCCGUCCGGAAAUACUUGUCGAAGCAAUGGAUGUAUCUAGACGUAUAUUAGUUUUAGAUACGUCCAUUUUUAUGCAUUUCUCCGACAAGUAUUUCCAGACGGAGGGAGUACUUU
rfam:Triticum aestivum genome assembly, contig: Triticum_aestivum_CS42_TGACv1_scaffold_147439_2BS